UACGUAGGGUGCAAGCGUUGUCCGGAUUUAUUGGGCGUAAAGAGCUCGUAGGCGGUCUGUCGCGUCGGAUGUGAAAACCCGCGGCUUAACUGCGGGCUUGCGGUUGAUACGGGCGGGCUAGAGUUCGGUAGGGGAGACUGGAAUUCCUGGUGUAGCGGUGAAAUGCGCAGAUAUCAGGAGGAACACCGGUGGCGAAGGCGGUUCUCUGGGAAUAUCCUGACGCUGAGGAGCGAAAGUGUGGGGAGCGAACAGG
rnacentral:rRNA from 1 species